UACAGAGGGGGCAAGCGUUGUUCGGAAUUACUGGGCGUAAAGGGCGCGUAGGCGGCCUGUUAAGUCGAACGUGAAAUCCCCGGGCUCAACCCGGGAACUGCGUCCGAUACUGGCAGGCUUGAAUUCGGGAGAGGGAUGCGGAAUUCCAGGUGUAGCGGUGAAAUGCGUAGAUAUCGUAAGGAAGACCAGUGGCGAAGGCGGGUCUCUGGACAGUUCCUGACGCUGAGGCACGAAGGUCAGGGGAGCAAACGGG
rnacentral:rRNA from 1 species